AACGAACGCUGGCGGCAUGCCUAACACAUGCAAGUCGAACGAGACCUUCGGGUCUAGCGGCGCACGGGUGCGUAACGCGUGGGAACCUGCCCUUAGGUUCGGAAUAACUCCCCGAAAAGGGUGGUAAUAGCGGACAAUUUCUUCGGACCAAAGAUUUAUCGCCUUUGGUGGGGCCCGCGUUGGAUUAGCUAGUUGGUACGGUAAACGCCUACCAAGGCGGCGAUCGACAGCUGGUCAGAGAGCCUGGUCAGCCACACUGGGACGGAGACACGGCCCAGACUCCUACGCGAGGCAGCAGUGGGGAAUAUUGGACAGCGGGCGAAAGCCUGAUCCAGCACUGCCGCGAGAGUGAUGAAGGUCUUAGGGUUGUAAAGCUCUUUUACCCGGGAUGAUAAUGACAGUACCGGGAGAAUAAGCUCCGGCUAACUCCGUG
rnacentral:rRNA from 1 species